rnacentral:lncRNA from 1 species
AUCCGGAUAUUUUACCGUUUCAAUGGCCGCAACCUUAGGACGAAAUCGUUCGGGAAGGGUUCUCAAAAUUUUUCUAACAAUUUUGGAAUCCGGAAUCUUCUCGCCUAAGUUAGCACACGUAUUUACAAUGUCUUGCAAACGAGUAUAAUACUCGGUAAAAGAUUCAUGUUUUUCCAUACGAAUAGAAUCAAAUCUACUAGUAAGCAUUUGUAAUUUUUGAAUCUUUACCAAGCUUGUACCCCCUCGUGUGUAACUUGUAAAGUGUCCCAAAUUUCUUUGGCGGUUUCACACGCCGAGACACGAGAAAAUUCAGUUUGAUUUAAAGCAUUAAAUAAAGCAUUGAUACCCUUUCCGUUGAACGAAGAUAGUUCAUUUUCCUCUUUCGUCCAUUUAUUUCUAGGUUUCGGACCGGUAACAUUCUCGACAACUUCGGUGGGAUGUUUUCACCCGAAUUCAAUAACUUGCCAUACCCACUCAUCGAUGGUAAUGAGAAGCGCCCUCAUACGGACUUUCCAAUAAGCGUAAUUAGUGCCAUCGAAGAGAGGGGGUCGAUUGAUGUUACCGCCCUCGGCCAUGAUUUACAACCUAUACCCGCUCUGAUACCACUUGUAAGAUAUGGAUCCCGAGGAUCUAAAAGGUAAAUAACACCUAGAGGGGGGUGAAUAGGUGUAAAACGGCAAAAAUAAAAACUCUCGAUGCAAAUAAAAGAGAUAGCGGAAAAUAAAAAUAGCACACCGAGAUUUUAACGUGGAAAAACUCCAAUCCGGAGUGAAAAACCCACGGGACCGAUCACGCGAAGAAAAUCCACUAAGAAAACUUGAGUACAAGUGAUUUUAACCAAAAUACAUGACUCAAUUUACCGAAUUUCCGUUGUUGAUGGUCUUCACCGGUCCUUGAUCGAUAGGAAUCCUCCAAUCGACCUCGCCGCAACUCCUUGCUACGUCAACGCCUCAACUCCUCGAAGCGUCCACCGAAUCCUCGGCUUCACGCGAGUCCACGCGCCGAACCUCCUUCCGGAGUUUGUAGAAUUGAUGAUUUGUGGUGAUUAAGACUUAGAAUACCAUAAGCAAUGAGGGUUCACCUUCUA